GACGAACGCUGGCGGCGUGCUUAACACGUGCAAGUCGAACGCUGAAGACCUGGCUUUUGUUGGGUUGGAUGAGUGGCGAACGGGUGAGUAACACGUGAGUAACCUGCCCUCUUCUUUGGGAUAACGCCCGGAAACGGGUGCUAAUACUGGAUAUUCACUGAUCUUCGCAUGGGGGUUGGUGGAAAGGUUUGUUCUGGUGGGGGAUGGGCUCGCGGCCUAUCAGCUUGUUGGUGGGGUGAUGGCCUACCAAGGCUUUGACGGGUAGCCGGCCUGAGAGGGUGACCGGUCACAUUGGGACUGAGAUACGGCCCAGACUCCUACGGGAGGCAGCAGUGGGGAAUAUUGCACAAUGGGCGAAAGCCUGAUGCAGCGACGCCGCGUGAGGGAUGGAGGCCUUCGGGUUGUAAACCUCUUUCGCUCAUGGUCAAGCCGCAACUGUGGGUUGUGGUGAGGGUAGUGGGUAAAGAAGCGCCGGCUAACUACGUG
rnacentral:rRNA from 1 species